AGUCUGUCAAGUCGGAUGUGAAAUCCCCGGGCUCAACCGGGGAACUGCAUUCGAAACUGGCAGGCUAGAGUCUUGUAGAGGGGGGUAGAAUUCCAGGUGUAGCGGUGAAAUGCGUAGAGAUCUGGAGGAAUACCGGUGGCGAAGGCGGCCCCCUGGACAAAGACUGACGCUCAGGUGCGAAAGCGUGGGGAGCAAACAGGAUUAGAUACCCUGGUAGUCCACGCCGUAAACGAUGUCGACUUGGAGGUUGUUCCCUUGAGGAGUGGCUUCCGGAGCUAACGCGUUAAGUCGACCGCCUGGGGAGUACGGCCGCAAGGUUAAAACUCAAAUGAACUGACGGGGGCCCGCACAAGCGGUGGAGCAUGUGGUUUAAUUCGAUGCAACGCGAAGAACCUUACCUACUCUUGACAUCCAGAGAACUUUCCAGAGAUGGAUUGGUGCCUUCGGGAACUCUGAGACAGGUGCUGCAUGGCUGUCGUCAGCUCUUGUUGUGAAAUGUUGGGUUAAGUCCCGCAACG
rnacentral:rRNA from 1 species